UACGUAGGGGGGCGAGCGUUGUCCGGAAUCAUUGGGCGUAAAGCGCGUGUAGGCGGCCCGGUAAGUCCGCUGUGAAAGUCCAGGGCUCAACCCCUGGGAUGCCGGUGGAUACUGUCGGGCUCGAGUCCGGAAGAGGCGAGUGGAAUUCCUGGUGUAGCGGUGAAAUGCGCAGAUAUCAGGAGGAACACCAAUGGCGAAGGCAGCUCGCUGGGACGGUACUGA
rnacentral:rRNA from 1 species